rnacentral:rRNA from 1 species
UACAGAGGGUGCGAGCGUUAAUCGGAAUAACUGGGCGUAAAGGGCGCGUAGGCGGCGCGGUAAGUCACUUGUGAAAUCUCUGAGCUUAACUCAGAACGGCCAAGUGAUACUGCAGUGCUAGAGUGUGGAAGGGGCAAUCGGAAUUCUUGGUGUAGCGGUGAAAUGCGUAGAUAUCAAGAGGAACACCUGAGGUGAAGACGGGUUGCUGGGCCAACACUGACGCUGGGGCGCGAAAGCCAGGGGAGCAAACGGG